UACAGAGGUCCCAAGCGUUGUUCGGAUUCACUGGGCGUAAAGGGUGCGUAGGUGGUUAGGUAAGUCCGAUGUGAAAUCUCCAGGCUCAACCUGGAAAUGGCAUUGGAUACUAUCUAGCUUGAGGGGUGGAGGGGGGACUGGAAUUCUCGGUGUAGCAGUGAAAUGCGUAGAUAUCGAGAGGAACACCAGUGGCGAAGGCGAGUCCCUGGACACUUCCUGACACUGAGGCACGAAAGCUAGGGGAGCAAACAGG
rnacentral:rRNA from 1 species